rnacentral:rRNA from 1 species
GAUGAACGCUGGCGGCGUGCCUAAUACAUGCUAGUCGAGCGAACGGACGAGAAGCUUGCUUCUCUGAUGUUAGCGGCGGACGGGUGAGUAACACGUGGAUAACCUACCUAUAAGACUGGGAUAACUUCCGGAAACCGGAGCUAAUACCGGAUAAUAUUUUGAACCGCAUGGUUCAAAAGUGAAAGACGGUCUUGCUGUCACUUAUAGAUGGAUCCGCGCUGCAUUAGCUAGUUGGUAAGGUAACGGCUUACCAAGGCAACGAUGCAUAGCCGACCUGAGAGGGUGAUCGGCCACACUGGAACUGAGACACGGUCCAGACUCCUACGGGAGGCAGCAGUAGGGAAUCUUCCGCAAUGGGCGAAAGCCUGACGGACCAACGCCGCGUGAGUGAUGAAGGUCUUCGGAUCGUAAAACUCUGUUAUUAGGGAAGAACAUAUGUGUAAGUAACUGUGCACAUCUUGACGGUACCUAAUCAGAAAGCCACGGCUAACUACGUGCCAGCAGCCGCGGUAAUACGUAGGUGGCAAGCGUUAUCCGGAAUUAUUGGGCGUAAAGCGCGCGUAGGCGGUUUUUUAAGUCUGAUGUGAAAGCCCACGGCUCAACCGUGGAGGGUCAUUGGAAACUGGAAAACUUGAGUGCAGAAGAGGAAAGUGGAAUUCCAUGUGUAGCGGUGAAAUGCGCAGAGAUAUGGAGGAACACCAGUGGCGAAGGCGACUUUCUGGUCUGUAACUGACGCUGAUGUGCGAAAGCGUGGGGAUCAAACAGGAUUAGAUACCCUGGUAGUCCACGCCGUAAACGAUGAGUGCUAAGUGUUAGGGGGUUUCCGCCCCUUAGUGCUGCAGCUAACGCAUUAAGCACUCCGCCUGGGGAGUACGACCGCAAGGUUGAAACUCAAAGGAAUUGACGGGGACCCGCACAAGCGGUGGAGCAUGUGGUUUAAUUCGAAGCAACGCGAAGAACCUUACCAAAUCUUGACAUCCUUUGACAACUCUAGAGAUAGAGCCUUCCCCUUCGGGGGACAAAGUGACAGGUGGUGCAUGGUUGUCGUCAGCUCGUGUCGUGAGAUGUUGGGUUAAGUCCCGCAACGAGCGCAACCCUUAAGCUUAGUUGCCAUCAUUAAGUUGGGCACUCUAAGUUGACUGCCGGUGACAAACCGGAGGAAGGUGGGGAUGACGUCAAAUCAUCAUGCCCCUUAUGAUUUGGGCUACACACGUGCUACAAUGGACAAUACAAAGGGCAGCGAAACCGCGAGGUCAAGCAAAUCCCAUAAAGUUGUUCUCAGUUCGGAUUGUAGUCUGCAACUCGACUACAUGAAGCUGGAAUCGCUAGUAAUCGUAGAUCAGCAUGCUACGGUGAAUACGUUCCCGGGUCU